ensembl:lncRNA
GCCCUUCUACUGUGAGCUUUCUCUCUUCCCUCCUCACAGUGGAAUUGCUCAUUCUCAUGAGAAUUUAUUAAUAAAUAACUUUUCUGCUUUCUACUGAGUGAUCUCUGAGUAGUCAUUUUGGGUAAGAGUCUUCUACAUCCCUCACAGUUGGGGGCUUGUCCGGGAUGGGGUCUUUGGGGGAGACAGCUAAGUGCACCCUGAACAGGGACAGGUGCCCACGGCGUAGUUUUCUCCAUGGUCUCUGUCUCUGGGUGAGCAGCCUCCCUCCCCUCUUAGACAAUGACCCAAGGCAGAGAUACUCAGUGGAACACAGAAUUGAAAACUGAAGGAAGUAGAGUCCUGAUGGCUGGCAGCAGUCUGAAAAGAAACACAUGUUCUCAAGAUUUUGGUCACAUUACAGCUAUAUUGACCUGCUUUUGGGACCUGGAUUGGCCCAUCUGAAGCUUAGAUUGACACCACAUCCACACCUCUGCAUGGAUUGAGAGCCUUUGCCCAUUUCUCAGCCCGAAGCAGCUAAGAUUGACCAUCAUCCAUGCUCCUGAUGUAAUUUGGACUGAUAUGGGGGAAGUGGGAAAGUGGUUGAUGAAUUAUUGUUAAAAUUACAACUGUAUUACUGUGUGUUUAAAAUUUGGAAAUUGUUAAAAUUGUGUGUUGGAAAUUGUUAAAAUUGAUUAAACUUAAACUUAACUUAUUAAAAUGGAUAAAACUGUUACUGUUAGGGAAGUUAUAUUAUGUUUAUAAUAUCUAUGUUUACUUCAGAAUAUGUAAUUGAGAGAUUUUUUUUUUUUGAGGAAACUCCUCCUGUACUAGUCUGUUAUGUAUAGGAACUUUAAGUCAUUCUUGGGAUUUAUAUGUGGAUGGUUAUUUGACGAUUUACUUUUUUUUUUGGGGGGGGGGAUGAUUCCUUUCCAUGAGAAAAAAAAAAAGAGAGGAAGAGAUAAAGGGAAACUGGUGGAUUUUUCUCAAAAUACCUAAAAGAGUGGGAACCUUUAGUUUUCUGUUCACUUUGCCUUAGGUACUUCUACCCCACCCCCUAUACCACCAGUUCAAAUUGAAUUGGAAGUCCUUAAGCAGUCCUUUUUGUUAUUCCUAUGCUUUAGCUUUGAAACCUCUUAUUCUGUGGAAUUGCUCUGGCAGACUCAGUUUUGGGGACUAUUUUGUUUUUAGGAAACCUCCAAGAUAUAGACACGUGUCUUGGGACUGGCAGUCUCCAGCCUUGUAAGCCCAAUUUCUUAAUUGGUAUCUUAGCAUUUUCAAUAACAUUGCAGUUUUGAGAUCAAGCCUCUAAAAAAUUUGGGGUUUGCCUGCCUUGUUGGUCUACCUGUGCAUGCUCUGAUAGCUCUGCUCAGAAAUCUACAUUCUAGUAGCAGCCCUGUGUGUUCCUCUGAGUGGGGACAGAUGAAGCUACUCCAAGCCUCACCCUUCUCCCCUGGAGUGGGUUGCCCCUCUGAAUGGGCAGCAUGACUGUCUUGAGCACUGCUACUCCCUAUAUAAGCAGAAGCUGAGUUAAGUGCACAGAUGACUGAAGACCACCUAACACAGUGAACCAUCCAUCUCAAACUUGAUUCUCUGGCUGAGAUGAGGGCCUUUGUACUGCUGAUAACUCUGGGCUUGUCAGGAAGAGAUUUGCCUUUAUCAUAAGUCCUUGCAUUUUCUAGUUUUGUUUUGAUAUAUUUGCUUCACAUUGGGUUGGGCAAAAUUAUAGUACUGAGACCUCCCAGAUAUCUAGGAGAGGUAAUUCAAUAAUUCAAAUAUUCAGGGGAGUGUAUAAUGUUGUCCCUCAGUUUCCCUAGGUUGUCAUCUUUGAUUUAUCUUUGUAUUUUUAUGUCUGACAAAUGCCAAUCUGUUCUGUGAUAACUAUUUCUAAGAUAGUGGGUUGAAGCAAUGUUUAUAGUAUAAACUUAUUGCAAUUGAUGGUAUUAGCCUGUUGCCACUAUGUCUACCCUGUAUAAUUAUUUAGUAAACAGAAUAGUUCAAUGGUCCCUAACAAAAUAUUGCAUACAGAAGAUUUUAUUAAAAUGAUGAUUCUUCAGAGAAAAGACUAGAAUGUAUCAGAGAGGGAUGAUAUUAAUGGGGAACUUGAUAAGCAACGUAUAGAUAUGAUAACUGAUUUUGAGUACUAUGUAAGUUCUUCAUAGAAAUAUGAUAAAAAUCAUUAACAUAUUAGAAGGGGGAAAGUUGUGUGGAAUGGAGAGAUAAAGUGAAGAACUUACAGGAAUAUUUAAAUUCUUUUUCUGUAUUUUUUAUUAUUUCUAUGUCUCUGUGACCUGCAUAAGUACAUUGUGUGCAAACCAAUAUUUACUUAACCAGAAUUGAUGACAUUUAUCCUUGCUCAAUGUUAUCAAUAUUUAGAUUAUUGAAUGCCGCCAGCUCAGUAAUCUGAAGUUUGAAGGUCGGACUGAUGAUUCCUCUCAGAAUCAGGGGAACAAACUAUUCCAUUCUAAUCUGCCUUUGGCACCAAUGUUUAACAUUCAAUUAGGGGAGAGGGCACCUAUUUCUCAAUGCUCCCCAACCUAUGAUGUAAUCCUUUGUAACCAAACCUAUUAAAAAUGUAUAUCUUUCCUAAAUCUUGAGCUCUUCUACUGCGAGCUUUCUCUUUCCCUCCUCACAGUGGAAUUGCUCAUUCUCAUGAGAAUUUAUUAAUAAAUAACUUUUCUGCUUUCUACUGAG